rnacentral:lncRNA from 1 species
AUCCAAGCCUUCCAAAAUUUAAUAAAUGUUACUGAUAUAAAUACAGAAAAGUCAUUUGUGGGGCUACAUAUUUGUUUUUUAGUUUGGUUUUUUGUAUAUUAUUUAGGCCACUAGUUUUCUUUUUUGAAUUGUUUUAGAUUUGUAAUUUCAGGGCCAUUAAAAGCUGACUGUGUUGUGGUUGUUCAUUGUUGAAGGCUGUAUGAUAAACGAUAGUCUCUUGUGAAGAGUUAGGAAAUCAUACCAAAUUUUCUUUUUUAUAUCUAUCAUGUCAUGAGCAUGUUGAAGUCAUACUCUUCUGAAUACCAUGUAAUCUUCAUAAAAUAGCUGCACCAAUAAAAACUGAUGGUUUACUGAAACCUGCUGUAUUUCAACUACUCAUUACCACUCUUGUAUAUGUUUAUGAUUACCUCCCUUG